rnacentral:rRNA from 1 species
GUGCCAGCCGCCGCGGUAAUACCGGCAGCUCAAGUGAUGUCCCAUAUUAUUGGGCCUAAAGCGUCCGUAGCUGGCCGACCAAGUCUCCCGGGAAAUCCACCCGCCUAACGGGUGGGCGUCCAGCGGAAACUGUCCGGCUUGGGGCCGAACGACCCGAGGGGUACGUCCGGGGUAGGAGUGAAAUCCUGUAAUCCUGGACGGACCGCCGGUGGCGAAAGCGCCUCGGGAGGACGGACCCGACGGUGGGGGACGAAAGCCAGGGUCUCGAACCGGAUUAGAUACCCGGGUAGUCC